AAAUGAGCAUAUCACAACAAUAUCCAUUUAAUAACAAAAGCAUAUCACAAUAACAAAUUCACAAUACCCAUUUAAUAAAAGCAUAUCACAAUCAUAGCAAGAGCAUCAACACCGAUUUAAUGAAAACAUAUCAUAAUCAUAAUGCCCUAUAUCACAACAAUACCCAUUGAAUAACAAAAGCAUAUCACAAUUACAUAUUCACAAUACCCAUUUAAUAAAAAAAGUAUAUAACAACAAU
rnacentral:misc_RNA from 1 species